UCGCGAAUUACUACGAUCAGUCCGAGUUCGUCGCGAAAUUUUUGAACUUGUGGCUAACGAUUAAAGUGUACGAAGGUGUCCAGGAAAUUAUCGGUUUCGAGAUGGGCUAAGGUUAUUUAGUGUUCUAUUUUAUCAUUGAAAAAGUCUAAGUCCACCGUAAGAACAUCGACGUCAACAGCUCUCGACAACGCGUCUGCGAUGACGUUCAGCUUCCCCUUCCGAUACUCCAGACUAAAGUCAUGCUGCUGCAGCUUAAGGGCCCAUCGCGCUAGACGAGCAGAGUUUCCUUCGAUGCUGAUUUGGUUCAACCAUCUUAGCGACUGUGCGUCGGUAACUACGCGAAACUUUGUUCCUUCGACGAAGUGUCGGAACUUUUCGAUGGCGAGGAUCACUGCAAGGCACUCCCGCUCGGUCGCUGAAUAUUUCAUCUGGGUGGCGGAGAACUUGCGAGAGAAGAACGCGAUAGGUCGCCGUACUUCUUCUUGGUAUUGAACUAAUACCGCUCCAGCUGCGACUGCAGACGCAUCGGAUUCAAUAACAAACUGCUGGUUGAAGUCCGGGUUCGAAAGGACUGGAGGUGCCGUCCGACCGAUCAACGAAUUUAAUAACGAAAGAUGGUUCCUAAACGUAUCCCAAUUCAAAUAUAUACAGCACCUAAACGGCUUCCAACUGGAAAAGGCAUACCUCACCGUAAAAACGAAGCCAAACAUUGGAUUCAAACGAGCGAGCAAAAUUCUCGGAAGGAUUUUAAUGCUGUAUCCACCUGUUUGCCAUAAUUUGAUCCAAUCGAAUGCGAUUUGCAGCUACAGCUUCAUCAUUAGCUAAUGCGAUUACAAUAACCCCCCGUUGCCAUGGGAGGUAAAAUGGGAUCGACGAAUUAGCUUGCCCGCCGCCGUGCCCUGUGGAGGCCUGUGCCAUCCCGCAGCGUGAGGUUUGUUGGCACAACAAAACUCGGUGGUCAUCCGAAUGCUACCUGGUGACUGAUUAUCAUUAAACACUAUAGGGGUAUAUUCCUGACGCGCAAACAAGGCUUACCUUCUGGGCGUUCGUAUCAAACUGUGACGUGACUGUGAACUUCAAGGAAGAAGAGUUAUUUUUGUAACAAGGUGAAAGCAAUGUGUGCGUAAACGUCCUAACUCAUAGGAAUUAUUCUCAUAUGCGGAGAUUGACGAUCUGAACAUCGAUAUGGAUGGAGUGAUAGCUGUUUUACUGUGUGUGCUGAUAAUC